AACAUAAAACUACUAGAUAAGCAAAAAAUUCACCAAUUAUGAAUUCUGCAUAAUAUAAACAAGAUUUUAGCAUAAUGUAUACUUCCAUCAGUUGAAUACAACUUGAACUGCUUAAUGUCAGCGGGCCCGGCUCCCUCAACCCCAGCCAAAAAUUUCUCUCUUUUGUUUCUAAAAUAUACUAUUAAUUCUCAAGUUCCACAUUAAUUUUCUAUGCGAAAUUUUACUUGACUAUGUUCAGAGUCCUCUCAACUAUUAGAUGUUAAAGUCACUUUUCUAAUUCCAAAAUGGAAUAUCAUCCGCCUUACCUCCUUGGCCAUGUCCAUGAGGCUUGAUCCCAGAAGAUCGAACAUAAUACCAAUUGGGAUAUGAGAAGUAGGGAUCCCAGUUGGGAGAGCUGGAAUGAGGAGCACUAUCAUCCCUCCAAACACAAGUUCCUUAGCUCUCGCACUCAAAAAGAUCUCCAUGUCAUGCUCAAAUUGAGCUGCAUAAGCAUGGCUUACUUCUUCUGGGCCACUUGUGUAGUGAAUCCUUCCCCUGUUCCAUGCAGGGGAGUUUUUGUCCAACAACUCUUCAGGCACCUUUGAGAGCCAGUGGAGUGCAUGAGAGGAAAACAUGAAAUGGAUAGAUGACUCCGGGAAUAACCGGCCAUGGAAAGAACCCGGGACGCCACAGGCAAAGUACCGCCUUUCAGUUGGGAGGGAUGCAAAUAGGGUAUUGAAAUCAUUGGCCACAUGAUCAUUAAAGAAGACUUGAAAUUCGGGCAUUUCAGAUUUGAGACCUUGCGCCAGGUACUUCCUUUCUACAGCUUCCACUAUAUGUUGCAUUGCUAUGAAGGUAUUUGGCCCAACUGAACAUCCCAAAUCUGCAAGACGAAACGGGUUUGAAGAGAAGCACUUUACAUCAAGCUUCUUAGCAAUUGCCUCUUCAAUCGUAAUCCUCGACGCAUUUGUAGCUUGUCUCUACAAAACGUAUAGUCCACCAUGUGUCUGUCAUUACUUAAUGUCAGGGGUGAUAUUCCCAUAAAACAAGCAAUUUUUAAGAGGCGUAUGUUCAACCAUAAUUGAAGUGGAAUAAGGGACAAAGAAGAAACCCAGGCAUGUAUGCACUGAAGGGGUAGUUGUGUUUGUUCCUCAAACUUGAAUCAGGUCAUCCAUGAAAUAUGUGAGGUAGAGAAAAUAUAUGAAGGGAUAACAAGAAGUAUAAAAACAGUCAAAAUACCUGUAAAUGGGAGUUGUUGAGGUAGCUGUGAGGUCCAUCCCCUCCGUUCAUCGGAAAAGAUUGUUGCAUAGUGGCUGUGUUGUUGUUGCUCAUCUCUCACUGCCUAAGUGAGCCAUUUACUUCUGAUGGACUCUCCAUAAAGACAAUGGUGAGGGAGGGUCUCAUGGACUUUUUUCCCUCAUUGACAAUGGCCUCUGACUAGGUCUAGCCGGCCAUCUGUAUUGGCUCAUUAUGCCAUUGAUGUUUUGUCCUUCAUACCAUUUUUUAAUCUUCUUUAAAACUUUUAAUUAUUUUUUUAUAAAUCUUAUUGACUAGCCAACAAAUUUAGUUUUGCAAGCACUACUUUGACUGAGAAUUGUGACGUGUGAUCCACCCAUCAUUCAUUCAGAGCACAUGGAACAUUAUCCUUUUCACAUUUUGAUUAAAUUAUAGUUGUAGAGGCAUGAGGUUACAUCUUAACACCUCAUCUAAGGGCAUCCCAACAAUAUCAGUUAGGGUAGAAGAGUCCAUUUGGAAUCAAAGAAGGUAGAGUCAUUCCUGACAUAUCAACUCAUUAUUCAUUGAAGAAGGUAGAGUCAUUCAUGACGUAUCACCUCAUUAUUUAUUGAAGAAGUUUUGCUUCUUCAACUAAAUAUUUAUAAAUCUAGUAGGAACAAAAAGUCAAAAGAGGGGCAAAGUAAUGACUUCACUCGGAGAUAAUAUGCAACAAUACAAAAUCAAAUCUAAAGUUACAAAAGCAACAUAUAAAUGAUCAAUCUUGAACCAUUUGUCUAUCUCUUCUAUUCCGGAUUCCUUUAAUUUAUGAGCCUCGACAUCCUUUUGGAUUUGAAUAGAAAACAAAAACAAAGACACAAAGUUAGAAGGGAAAAAAAAUAUAUAUUGUCAAGUUAUUUAUAAGUGAAAUGAAUUUAAAGUCGGAUAUAAAAUAAUUUAUUGAUUUAAUUUUUUUUUCCUUAAUUUUCUUCACUCAUGCUUUUUUUUCUUUGUUUUUGUUCCUUCGCAUUUUCCUUCAAAUUUUCUCUCAUCCUAACAUAACCUAAAACAUUUAUGUAUGCAGAACCGAAUAAUAAGAGAUGACUGAACCCCUACACGACUCUUAAACCCUAAGACCCCAAUUACCAGACUCAACAACCAACAACCAUACUUCAAUCUUGAUCCUAGUUCAUAAAAGCAGUAUAUAAUGAAACAACCCAUUCCCAUGUGAGAGGAAAAAUAUCAUUCAUGUGGGAUCCAUCAUCCAUGCUGUGUUUAUGGCAAACUGAUCCACAUCAACAAGGAUAAAAAGUGUAUUAGAAGGUCUCUACAUCUGUCAUCGCUGGAUUAACACAAAUUCAGUCAUGGGUUGCAUUUGGGUUAAGGAAUUUGCCAUCCUAUGUGUUUUCUCCCUCCAACAUGUCCCCCCAUCCUUGCAAGCCUGACGCAUUGGAAAAGGAGUUCAGUUCUUUCUUUUAAGUGAAGUAUGGCUAUAUGUUCAUAGGAACAUACCCCUACACCUUAGCACUUUACGACUGUGUUUAGUAUCACGCUAUUUCCUGCAAGUUGUGUUUUUGGAUUUCAUGAAUAUGUGGAGGGCAUUUCCAAAGCCCAGAGGACAACUUAUCAUCUAUUUCCACAGCCACAAGUUUUUCUUCUGAUUAUCCGUGAGCAUAUCCAUAACCAUUCACAUAUGUUAACCAAGACAAUUAUUGUAAAUAUAUAGAGUUGAUACCCAAAUCUGGGUCAUUAUUUAUGAUCCACUGGAUCUUCACGACAAUAUAUAUUGAUAUCCUGAAACUAGUCUCAGAGAAGGGACUAAGAAAACUAGCAGGAAAAAUAGUUUAUGAUCAUAUUCAAACAGUAUCAUUUACGCCUCAGAACAACAAACAAUAGAGUUCCUUCUUUGUUGCCUGAUUCCAGCUGGUGGGAGGACUCCAUAAUUUGCUUGGAAAGCCUAUCAAACAGUUGAUCAAUAAUCCCACUUCCAAAAUGUUGGGUAAAAAUUCCCUCCAGGCCAGCUCUAAGGCACAUUGCACAUUCCUUUCCAUUGAUCGGGCCAACAAGUUUUGAUCUAGAGUCCACUAACUCCAUUCUCUCAAUGGUUAAACACUCAUUUCUGUCCACCAUCUCUGUCAUUUGCUCGGGAGAGGCUACAUGAAUAGGCAAGUUGAAGGAAUCCACUUGAGCUUCACUAAUUAAUCCCUGCAUUCAACAUUGGCAAUGUUGGCAUCAUCUCUUGAAUUUGAUUCGGGCUUGUCUGUAAAACAACAUAAAACUACCAGACAAGCAAAAAUUCAACAAUUAUAAUUAUAGUUUGUUUUUUUUCCCCUCUCUGCCCUAAUACUGGACUUCAUGUAUUAGGUUCCAUGAGGGUAUAUUGGUCAUUUUACAUGAUUAGCCUAGUGUUUCCUACGACCCAACCUGAAUUGGGCCAUGGGAUGAGCAUAUGCCUAGGGUAAGUGUGCCAGGCUCCCUCAGCCCCAACAAAAAAUUUUCCUGUUUUAUUUCUAAAAUAUACUAAUAUUUCCCAAGUUCCACAUUAAUUUUCUAUGCGGAAUGUUACUUAGCUAUGAUCAGAGCCCUCUCAACUAUUAGAUAUUAAAGUCACUUUUCUAAUUCCAAAAUAGAAUUUCAUCCGCCUUACCUCCUUGGCCAUAUCCAUGAGGCUUGCUCCCAAAAGAUCGAACAUAACACAAUAUGGGUUUUGAGAAGCAGGGAUCCCAUUUGGGAGAGCUGGAAUGAGAAACACUAUCAUCCCUCCAACCACAAGUUCCUUAGCUCUGGCACUCAGAAAGAUCUCCAUGUCACGCUCAAAUUGAGCCGCAUAAGCAUGGCUUACUUCUUCUGGGCCACUUGUGUAGUGAAUCCUUCCCCUGUUCCAUGCAGGGGAGUUUUUGUCCAACAACUCUUCAGGGACCUUUGAGAGCCAGUGGAGUGCAUGAGAGGAAAACAUGAAAUGGAUAGAUGACUCCGGGAAUAACCGGCCAUGGAAAGAACCCGGGACGCCACAGGCAAAGUACCGCCUCUCAGUUGGGAGGGAUGCAAAUAGGGUAUUGAAAUCAUUACCCACAUGAUCAUUAAAGAAGACUUGAAAUUCGGGCAUCUCAGAUUUGAGACCUUGUGCCAGGUACUUCCUUUCUACAGCUUCCACUAUAUGUUGCAUUGCUAUGAAGGUAUUUGGCCCAACUGAACAUCCCAAAUCUGCAAGACGAAACGGGUUUGAAGAGAAGCACAUUACAUCAAGCUUCUUAGCAAUUGCCUCUUCAAUCAUAGUUCUCGACACAUUAAUAUCUUGUCUCUACAAAACAAUAGUCCACCAUUCGCUUUGUUAUUAAUGUCAGGGAUGAUAUUCCCUAAACCAAGCAAUUUUUAAUCACGUAAUAUAAUCCAGGGUGAGCAAAACGGAGAUCCAUGAAAUCUGUAAGAUAGAGAAAAUUUAUGAAGAGGCUGCAACGGCUACAAAAGCAGUUAAAAUACCUGAAAAUGGGAGUUGUUGCGGUAGCUAUGAGGUCCAUCCCCUCCGUUCAUCAGAAAAGAUUGUUGCAUUGUGGCUGCGUCGUCGUUGCUUAUAACUCUCUCUGUCUGUGGAGAGCCUAGGUGAGCCGUGUGCUUUAUUUGAUGGACGCUCUAUAUAGACAUCUCAUAAACAAUGGCCUUCUGACACGUGUACCAAUUUCAGGCCUUUCCUUAGGGUCAAGUCGCCCUUCAUUAUUUACUUGUCCUAGCAUGUGUUUUAUCCUUAUUGACUGGUAUAAAUUUAAAAUGGCCUUCGGACACGUGUACCAAUUUCAUGCCUUUCCUUAGGGUCAAGCCGGCCUUCAUUAUUUACUUGUCCUAGCAUAUGUUUUAUCCUUAUUGACUGGUAUAAAUUUGGUCGGGCAAGUAGUAACUUGACUGGAAAUUGUGAUAUGUGAUAAUAUCCCAGCAUUCAAAAGCACACGGAACAACUUAUUUUAUCUUUAAUAAAAACCAUCUCUUUAUUUAAAAUAACAUCUUUAAUAAAAUUGAUAUUUAUAAAAUAUUAGGACUGCUUGCCUAUUUUUUUUUUUAAUUGGGUCUACAUCUUAAUUAUUAUUAUUUUUUCUUUUCUUUCUUUUUCUUCUUCCCCACUUUUUCCCAUCCCACUCCUUCCCCUCCCCACCCCACCCCACCCCACCCCACCCCACCACCACUUACCUUCAUUUCUAGCCCCCUUUUCCACUUCCUCUGUUUUUUUCCUCUCUCUCUCCCCAUCCCAUCCCACCACCACUUACUUUCAUUUCCAACCCCCUUUUCCUCUCUCUCUCUUUCCCUCUCUCUCUUGGAAUGAGCUUAAAGUCAGAUAUCUUAAAAUAACAUCUUUAAUAAAAUUGAUAUUUAUAAAAUAUUAGGACUGCUUACCUAUUUUUUUUUUUAAUUGGGUCUACAUCUUAAUUAUUAUUAUUUUUUCUUUUCUUUCUUUUUCUUCUUCCCCACUUUUUCCCAUCCCACCCCACCCCACCCCACCCCACCACACCACCACUUACCUUCAUUUCUAGCCCCCUUUUCCACUUCCUCUGUUUUUUUCCUCUCUCUCUCCCCAUCCCAUCCCACCACCACUUACUUUCAUUUCCAACCCCCUUUUCCUCUCUCUCUCUUUCCCUCUCUCUCUUGGAAUGAGCUUAAAGUCAGAUAUCUCAAGAGUGAUGGAGCAAGGGUUUUCCAACUUGAGAAAUCUUUGAGUUGCAUCAAUUAAGGUGCUUUGUCUAUUAUUGAAUAUUUCAGUUCCUUUAAGACCCUUUGGGAUGAGUACAUUAGCUAUAGGCCAUUUCCAACAUGCGCUUGUGGCAAAAUGGCAACAUGCACUUGUGAACUUUUCAACUUUUCAACUUUCUACAAAUCAGACAGCAAUUUGAUUAUGUACUCAAAUUCUUGGUGGGGCUAAAUGAUUCUUAUGCCUCUAUCAGAAGCCAAUUGCUGCUAAUGGUUCCAUUACCAAACAUGUCCAAGGUUUUCUCUCUACUACUUCAAGAAGAAAGUCAGAGGCAACUCACAAAUUCUGCUACAUAUAAUGAGACUCAUGCUUUGAUUGCAAGGCAAUCCAAUCAGGAGAAUUACCAGCCACAAUCUUUCAAGGACAAACCAAAGAAAUUUGCCCUACACUAUACUCAUUGUGGCAAUAAUGGUCACACAAUGGACAAAUGUUUUCAACUUCAUGGUUAUCCCCCUAGCUGGAAUGGACCAAAGGGAAAAAGAAAUAUGGCUUCUGCUUAUGCUACCAUUACUACUCCAGAGGUCCCCAAUCAAAAUAGCAAUGAGCAACAAAAGUUUUGUUUCACUCCAGAGGAAUUUCAUAAACUAAUGGCGCUUGCAAAUUCAGUUCAACCCAAUUCUUCCAAUCAGAAUAAUGUCCAACCAGUUGUUAACCUUGUCACCACCUCUUACUUUUCUGGUAAAGUUCAACCUACACUUAAACCAAUUUUUUUUUUCUUGUACUUCUGUUACUUCUAAGCCAAAUUCCACUUCAUAUUGGCUUCUUGAUACGGGUGCAACAGACCAUAUGAUUUGUUCACCACUUUUAUACCAUUUAUACCUAAACCAAUUAAUGCAUCCAUCAAUCUUCCUAAUGGUACUACAGUUCCAACCACAUACAUUGGUACUGUAUGUCUCUCAGAUUCCUUAUUUUUACAUAAUGUCUUGUGUGUUCCUCAUUUUUCAUUCAAUCUAUUAUCCGUUUCCAAACUCACUAAACAAUCUAAUCUUUUUCUUACCUUUACUGCUUCUCAUUGCCUUUUACAGGACCAGUCAAUGGAGAAGAUGAUUAGGAUUGCUCUUGAAAAAGAAGGACUUUACCAUCUGAUUCCAGCUUCAUCACAAGCUAAAAUCUGUAAUUCAUUUCAGUUUAAUUAUGCUCAUCUUGCUUUGUCCUCUAUUCACAAACACUUAGAUAUAUGGCAUUGUAGAUUAGAACAUGUAUCUAGUUCAAGAUUCCAUUCCCUCAAACAGAUUGACUUUGCUAUCACUAUUGAUCAUACAAAUGUUUGUGACAUAUGUCCUUUAGCAAAGCAAAGAAGGCUUCCUUUUUUUUGUAUCACAAAAUAAUUCUAAUAAAAGUUUUGUGAUCGCUCAGAUUUUGUCGUUUAUUGGAUCAAAACAAAAUUUAUAACCUAAUUCAUUAUUCUAUGGCAAUUUGUACCCGAUCAAAAAUGUGGUUUUAGUACAAACUACUGUAGUAUAGUGGUAUUUAGGUAUCGUCCACAAGAAUGGAUUAUUCUCGGUAAUUAAGGCUUGAACGAGAUGAUAAGAAAUGAUGGUGAUCAAGUGAAAUUUACUUGAAAUUGCAUGAUAAAAUCUCUAGAUAGCAAUGUAUUCAAAUUGAAUUGAAAAUGAAGUGUAAAAGAGAAGAAAAUUAAUAAGAUGUGAGAUUCUCGGAGUUAGGAUUUUCUAGAGAGCAAUUUCCAUGGUGAAUAGGUGUUAAGAUCAAAUUUUCAUCAAGUUAGAUUGAAAACCUAAAUUUUCAUCUAAACCGAUUUUUGAUUUAGCUUUAGAUCUAGAUCUAAUUUCUCUUCAAAUUAGGUAAUCUAAUCCAAGAGAUCAAUUUGAAUCAUAUAUUCAAUUCAUCUUAAAUUAUCUUCCAAUGAUUCAUACUAUGCAACUAUUCAAUUUCAUCAAAUCUAGCAUUAAGAAUUUGAUGAAUCUACCUAGCUUGCAUUGUAGUAGUCAUCCAAGACAAUUUGAAGAGAAAAAUCCCCAAAUUUCAAUUAAUCAAUCAAUUGGAUCAAAUUACCUAUGCAAUUCAAGCUCAAUUCUCUAAUUCACCAUAGAUCUUGCUUCUAGAUCCUCCGUCCUCCAAGAAAAAACGAGAUUUAGCCACUCAUGCUUGGAGAUUUGAUCUCACAAGACAUGUUUGACUACCGAGAAAAUAAGAGAAACUGAAGGAAAGUGGAGAAUUAUAUAGAGAGAAGAAGUAUGAAAAGUUCUACAAUUAGAAAAUGAAUCAAAAAGUCCCUAAAUGAGUCAAUCCCGUUUCUAUUUAUAGGCCCAGGUUAAAAGGACACUUGGCAACAUUUUAGAGGUCUUCCGGAUGCUUCUUCAUCAAGGAAUCUGGAGAAAAUGCAUUUUCGCACGAGCCCCUAGAAAUCUCGCAUGAUGGUGUGAAGUGGAGAAUCCAUCAGCUUCAAUUUCGUUCUUCUGGAGCGUUUCGCAUGACUGUGUGAAAAUUUCGCAUGGUCAUGCGAAAUCACUUUUUCACAAUUUCCUUAUGUGCUACAGCCACAACCUUUCUGUUUCAUUUCGCAUGGUCAUGCAAAAUCGAAAAUCAUGCUAUUCCGGAUCCUCUUUGCAAUUUUUCUCAUUUCUUCAUGUUUAAUCCAUCUCCACCACCUUCAAUUAAGCUCCAAAGCUUGGUCCAAGUGCAUUUCCUCUUCCUCUUCAUCUACAUUAUGUACCCUCCUCCAUUCCAUUUCCAUUUGUCACUCCAUGCUUCAAAUAUCACCUUAAAAUAUCUCCAAAACACAACAAAGAACCAUUAGUAUCUCUUGGAAGGGUAGCAAUGUAUUACUUGGGCAUAUUAGGCAUAAUUACUACUCAAAAUGUGUGAAACUCAUGAAAGUUAGUAUCUAAAAUGUGUGGUUUUUGAGUAGUAAUCAUUUUGAUUUGAUCCAUUGUGAUAUAUGGGGUCCUUUUGGCACUACUUCUUAUUCUGGUUUUCGAUAUUUUUUUAACAAUAGCCGAUGACUACACAAGGUGUACUUGGGUAUACAUGAUUAAAGCUAAAUCAGAAGUGCCAUCUUUAAUCAAAACUUUCUGUAAUGGUAGCAAACCAAUUUUCUUCUUCUGUUAAAGCUAUAAGGUCUGAUAAUGGACCAAAAUUCUUACUCACAAAAUUCUAUCAUAAAUAUGGUAUUUUGCAUUAGAGAAGUUGUGUCGAAACUCCUCAACAAAAUGGUGUUGUGGAGAGAAAACUUCAACAUCUACUAAGCACUGCUAGAGCCUUAAUGUUUCAAGCAAAUCUACCAUUAAUUUUUUGGAGUGACUGUGUGCUUACUGCUGCCCACAUAAUCAAUAGAAUUCCCACUCCUCUACUUCAAAAUAAAACCCCUUUUGAAAUGUUUUUUAACAAAACACCUAACCUUUCUCAUUUAAGAGUUUUUGGCUGUCUUUGUUUUGCAUCCACUUUAACUAGUCACAGACAAAAAUUUGAUUCACGAGCCACAAAGUGCAUCUUCCUAGGAUAUCCUUAUGAUAUUAAGGGUUAUAAACUCAUGGAUCUAAACAACAAUAAGAUCCUUGUUUCUCGGAAUGUCAUAUUCCAUGAAACAUUUUUUCCUUUCCAAGUGUUGCCCCAACAUCUUGAAACUCAUUCAUUUAUGUUUCCUCUUUCACAAUCAUUUUCAGAUUCACCUUCUACCACCCCCUUCUUCAAUUCCUAUCAUAAUGUGUGACCUGCAUCACCACCUAAUAAUUCUCCUUUUCUCUCUGAACCUUUUGCCCUUCUUGAAUCCGACUCACCUACAUGUCCCUCUCCAUCCCAUCUGGAUUCAACUGACCCUGAAGUCCUACAGCUCAGAAAAUCAACCAGAAUUAAACAAAAACCUUCAUAUCUGCAGGACUAUUAUUAUGGUAAUGUCUCUUCUUCUCAAACUGCAACUCAGACAUCUACUUCAACUAACUGGUCUCCCAUUAAAGGUAAUUUCUAUUCUCUUCACCCUUUUCUUUCUACUAGUAGACUGUCUACGUCCCAUAAAACUUUUCUCACCUUUAUCACAAACUCUCCAGAACCCAAAUCAUACACCCAAGCUUCUCGCCUCCUUGAAUGGCAAGCUGUCAUGCAACAUGAACUUACUGCUUUGGAGUUAAAUAAAACUUAGGAACUUGUUACUCUUCCUAAAAAUAAAAGGACUAUUGGUUGUAAAUGGGUAUUCAAAGUGAAAUAUAAAGCUGAUGGAACUAUAGAAAGACAUAAAGCUAGAUUGGUGGCAAAAGGGUAUACUAAGCAAGAAUGCCUCGAUUUAUUUGAUACUUUCUCUCAUGUGGCCAAGAUUACAUCCAUUCGCUUACUACUUGCUGUGGCUACCGUCAAACAGUGGCAUCUUCAUCAACUAAAUGUCAAUAAUGCAUUUUUGCAUGGUGAUUUACAUGAAGAGGUAUACAUGGAAUUGCCUCCUGGGUUGGCUGUCCAAGGUGAACAGAAAGUUUGUCGUCUUUUAAAGAGCCUUUAUGGCUUGAAGCAAGCUUCCAGGCAAUGGUAUGCCAAACUAUCCCAGGCCCUUCUUUCCUAUGGAUUUGUUCAAGGUAACUCUGAUUGUUCUCUAUUCAUUAAGAAAUCUGAAAGUUCUUUUAUGGCCUUAUUAGUCUAUGUGGAUGAUGUGCUAUUGGCAAGUGAUAGCAUUCUGGAAAUUGAAAGGUUGAAGACCUUUUUAGAUGCCAAGUUCACUAUUAAAGACUUAGGCCCACUGAAAUACUUUCUUGGCUUGGAAGUUGCAAGGUCCAAGACUAGUAUCUUCUUAUGCCAACGAAACUAUAUACUUGACAUACUUGAAGACACUGGUUUAACUAGAUCCAAACCUAUUGCCUUCCCUAUGGAAUCUACCCUCAAGUUAUCAGCAAAUGAUACCAAUUUCUAUGAAGAUCCAUCAGGUUACCGAAGACUCAUUGGCAGAUUAUUUUACUUAACUCUCACUAAGCCCGACUUAGCCUAUUCUGUAAAAGUACUCAGCCAAUUUUUAGCAAAACCUGCUGUUAGUCACCAUCAAGCAGGCAUUCGAGUACUGAGGUAUCUAAAGGCCAUACUAGGGCAAGGUCUCUUUUUUCUUUCUUUCUCAGAUUUUCAAUUAAAGGGUUUUUCCUAUAGUGAUUGGGCAGGCUGUGUCGAUACUAGAAGAAGUGUCACUGGUUUUGCAAUUUUUCUUGGCAACUCAUUGAUUUCAUGGAAAUCAAAGAAACAAGUUACAGUUAGUCGAUCCUCUACAGAGGUAGAGUACCAAGCCCUUGCAACUGCCACCUGUGAAAUUCAAUGGCUUUUUAAUGCCUUGCAAGACCUGGAUAUCAAACAUUCACAGUCAGCUUUGCUAUAUACUGACAGUAAAUCAACAAUGCCCAUCACCACAAAUCCAGUUCAACAUGAGAGAACAAAACAUAUCUAGAUUGAUUGCCAUCUUAUUCGCGAAAAAUUGCAGCAGCAUGUUAUAAAGCUCUUCCAUAUUCCAUUGCGAUUAUAGCUUGCAGAUAUCUUUACAAAGCCUCUCGGUUCUCUACCUUUUCAUCAUACUCUUUGCAAGAUGAACAUCAUUAACAUCCAUGUUCAUCUUGAGGGGGGGUGUUGGAGUGUUACAUCUCAUAUUGAAAGCAUGGAAUUAAAAAGGAAAGAAGACUUAAAAUAGAAAGCAAGUUAGAUGAGAAGAGUUAGUUAGAAGAGUUGUUAUUUCAAAUUAUUCUUUACUUUGUUAUUGUGUCAUUGAUGUAUUAUAAAUAGGACUCAAGUCUGAUGUAGUUUUUAAAUUUUUUCAGUUUCUGCAAUUCAUUUUCCUUUGCGUCCUCUAUUUCUUGGUGUUUUUCAUCAGUUUCAAAUUCUUCUGAUUCUCAACAACAAUUAUUGUAAAUAUAUAGAGUUGAUACCCAAAUCUGGGUCAUUAUUUAUGAUCCACUGGAUCUUCACGACAAUAUAUAUUGAUAUCCUGAAACUAGUCUCAGAGAAGGGACUCAGAAAACUAGCAGGAAAAGUAGUUUAUGAUCAUCUUCAAACAGUAUCAUUUACGCCUCAGAACAACAAACAAUAGAAUUCCUUCUUUGUUGCCUGAUUCCAGCUGGUGGGAGGACUCCAUAAUUUUCUUGGAAAAACUAUCAAACAGUUGAUCAAUAAUCCCACUUCCAAAAUGUUGGGCAAAAAUUCCCUCCAAGCCAGCUCUAAGGUACAUUGCAUAUUCCUUUCCAUUGAUCGGGCCAACAAGUUUUGAUCUAGAGUUCACUAACUCCAUUCUCUCAAUGGUUAAACACUCAUUUCUUUCCACCAGCUCUGUCAUUUGCUCGGGAGAGGCCAGAUGAAUAGGCAAGUUGAAGGAAUCCACUUGAGCUUCACUAAUUAAUCCCUGCAUUCAACAUUGGCAAUUUUGGCAUCAUCUCUUGAAUUUGAUUCGGGCUUGUCUGUAAAACAACAUAAAACUACCAGACAAGCAAAAAUUCAACAAUUAUAAUUAUAGUUUGUUUUUUUCCCCUCUCUGCCCUAAUACUGGGCUUCAUGUAUGAGGUUCCAUGAGGGUAUAUUGGUCAUUUUACAUGAUUAGCCUAGCGUUUCCUACGACCCAACCUGAAUUGGGCCAUGGGAUGAGCAUAUGCCUAGGGUAAGUGUGCCAGGCUCCCUCAGCCCCAACAAAAAAUUUCCCUGUUUUAUUUCCAAAAUAUACUAAUAUUUCCCAAGUUCCACAUUAAUUUUCUAUGCGGAAUGUUACUUAGCUAUGAUCAGAGCCCUCUCAACUAUUAGAUGUUAAAUUCACUUUUCUAAUUCCAAAAUAGAAUAUCAUCCGCCUUACCUCCUUGGCCAUGUCCAUGAGGCAUGAUCCCAGAAGAUCGAACAUAAUACCAUAUGGGUUUUGAGAAGCAGGGAUCCCAUUUGGGAGAGCUAGAAUGAGAAACACUAUCAUCCCUCCAACCACAAGUUCCUUAGCUCUGGCACUCAGAAAGAUCUCCAUGUCAUGCUCAAAUUGAGCUGCAUAAGCAUGGCUUACUUCUUCUGGGCCACUUGUGUAGUGAAUCCUUCCCCUGUUCCAUGCAGGGGAGUUUUUGUCCAACAACUCUUCAGGCACCUUUGAGAGCCAGUGGAGUGCAUGAGAGGAAAACAUGAAAUGGAUAGAUGACUCCGGGAAUAACCGGCCAUGGAAAGAACCCGGGACGCCACAGGCAAAGUACCGCCUCUCAGUUGGGAGGGAUGCAAAUAGGGUAUUGAAAUCAUUACCCACAUGAUCAUUAAAGAAGACUUGAAAUUCGGGCAUCUCAGAUUUGAGACCUUGCACCAGGUACCUCCUUUCUACAGCUUCCACUAUAUGUUGCAUUGCUAUGAAGGUAUUUGGCCCAACUGAACAUCCCAAAUUUGCAAGACGAAACGGGUUUGAAGAGAAGCACUUUACAUCAAGCUUCUUAGCAAUUGCCUCUUCAAUCAUAGUUCUCGACACAUUCAUAUCUUGUCUCUACAACACAAUAGUCCACCAUUCGCUUUGUUAUUAAUGUCAGGGAUGAUAUUCCCUAAACCAAGCAAUUUUUAAUCACGUAAUAUAAUCCAGGGUGAGCAAAACGGAGAUCCAUGAAAUCUGUAAGAUAGAGAAAAUUUAUGAAGAGACUGCAACGGCUACAAAAGUAGUUAAAAUACCUGAAAAUGGGAGUUGUUGCGGUAGCUAUGAGGUCCAUCCCCUCCGUUCAUCGGAAAAGAUUGUUGCAUUGUGGCUGCGUCGUUGUUGCUUAUAACUCUCUGUGUCUGUGGAGAGCCUAGGUGAGCCGUGUGCUUUAUGCCUUUAUUUGAUGGACGCUCUAUAUAGACAUCUCAUAAACAAUGGCCUUCUGACACGUGUACCAAUUUCAUGCCUUUCCUUAUCCUUGUUGACUGGUAUAAAUUUUGUCGGGCAAGUAGUGACUUGACUGGAAAUUGAGACUUUUUUUAAUACGGUAAUUUAAAAAAGUUAUGUUUAAAUUUUUAUAGUAAAAGAAGUUUUUAUAAAUAUAUAGUAUUUUUUCCCCCCUAGAAGAUAGGAGAUAGGAGAGAGAGAGGGUGAACGGAUAAAUUUUUUUUUAAACCAAAAUCUUUUUUUCAAAAGACGAUUUAAAAAAAUUUGAAAUUUUUUUUUCAAGAGACGAGUUCCAUGAAAAUAUAUAUAUAUAUAUAUAUAUAUUUAAAAAAAUUCCCAAAAAAAAAAAAAAAAAACAAUUCCUCAAGGGAUGAAGAGACGAGUUCCAUGAAAAUAUAUAUAUAUAUAUAUAUAUAUAUAUAUAUAUAUAUAUAUAUAUAUAUAUUUAAAAAUUCCUAAAUUUAAAAAAAAAAAAAAAAAAAAAACAAUUCCUCAAGGAACUCGUCUCUUGAAAAGACAAGUUCCCAUGGAAAAAAAAUAAUUUUUAAAAAAUAUAUAUAUAUAUAUAUAUAUUUUUAAAAAAAAUUCCCAAAUUAAAAAAAAAAAUUCCUCAAGGAACUCUUCUUUUCAAGAGACGAGUUCCAUGGAAAAAAAAAAUUCCCAAAUUAUUAAAAAAAGAAAAAAAGAAAAACCAAUUCCUCAAGAGACGAGUUCCCAUUAAAAAAAUAUAUUUUUUUUAUUUAAAUUCCUAAAUUAAAAAAAAAAUUCCUCAAGGGACCUCGUCUCUUCAAUAGACGAGUUCCAUGAAAUAUAUAUCUAUAUUAAAAAAUUCCCAAAUUAUUAAAAAAAAAAAAAAAAACAAUUCCUCAAGGAAACUCGUCUCUUUAAGAGACGAGUUCCCUUGAGGAAUUGUUUUUUUUUUUUUUUUAAAUAUAAUUUGGGAAUUUUAAAAAAAAAAAAUAUAUAUAUAUAUAUAUAUAUAUAUAUAUAUAUAUAUUUUUUUUUUUUUAAGAAACGAGUCCUCUUGAGGAAUUUUUUUUUUUUUUUUUUAAUAAUUUGGGAAUUUAAAAAAAAAAAUUCAUGGGAACUCGUCUCUUCAAGAGACGAGUUCCCUUGAGGAAUUUUUUUUUAAUUUUUAAUUUUUUUAUAAUUUGGGAAUUUUUUUAAAAAAAUAUAUUUUUUUUCAUGGGAACUCGUCUCUUGAGGAAUUGUUUUUUUUUUUUUUUUUUUAAAUUUGGGAAUUAUUUAAAAAAAAUGUUUUUUUUUUCAUGAGAACUCGUCUCUUGAAGAGACGAGUUCCCUUGAGGAUUUUUUUUUUUUUUUUAUAUAAUUUGGGAAUUUUGUUAAAAAAAAAAUAUAUUUUUUUAAUGGGAACUCGUCUUUUCAAGAGACGAGUUCCCUUGAGGAAUUUUUUAUUUUUUUAUUUUUUUAAUAAUUUGAGGAUUUUUUUUUUUUAAUUUGAAAAUUUUUUUUCAUGGGAACUCGUCUCUUAAAGAGACAAUUUCCCUUUUGAAUUUUUUUUUAAAAUCGUCUUUUGAAAAGACGAUUUCGUCUUUUGAAAUUUGAAAAGAUGAUUUUGGUUUAAAAAAAAAAUUAUUCGUUCACCCUCUCUCCUCUCUCAUUUCUCCUAAGUGGCAAAAACUACCAUAUAUUUAUAAUAACUUCUUCUACUACAAUAAUUUAAGCAUAACUUUUUUAAAUUACCGCACUAUUGAGAAAAGUCCCUAAAAAUUGUGAUAUGUGAUAAUAUCCCAGCAUUCAAAAGCACAUGGAACAACUUAUUUUAUCUUUAAUAAAAACCAUCUCUUUAUUUAAAAUAACAUCUUUAAUAAAAUUGAUAUUUAUAAAAUAUUAGGACUGCUUGCUUUUUUUUUUUUUAAUUGGGUCUACAUCUUAAUUAUUAUUAUUAUUUUUUCUUUUCUUUCUUUUUCUUUUUCCCCUCUUUUUCCCUUCCUACUCCACCCACUCCCCCAUCCCACCCCACCCCACCACCACCCACCUUCAUUUCCAGCCCCUUUUUCCACUUCCUCGGUUUUUUUUCCUCUCUCUUUCCCCAUCCCAUUCCACCACCACUUACUUUCAUUUCCAGCCUCCUUUUCCACUUCCUCGGUUUUUUUUCCUUUCUCUCUCUCUCAACCAUGGAAAAUCAUCAUCUCCAUCCUAGGGUUACAGAAUAGAUAAGUUUUUUUUUCUCUUUUUUUCUUUAAUUUCUAUCGUAAUUGUUUUUUGGAUUUGGACUUGAUUGCAUGCAUAUUAAAUUGAGCUCGAUUUUUGUUGUGGAAUUGGUUUGAGCAUUAAAUUGGAUUUGGAUUAUGAGAUAUUAAAUUGAGGUUUAAUUGAAUUUAUCUUAAUUUGUUACAUUUGAUCUUGAUUAAAUGUGCUUGAAUAUUAGUUAUUAAUUUGUAUAUGGAAUAUUUAUGUUGGACUGUAUUUACUAAUUUGAAUUUAUUCUUAUUCAUAAAAUUUAUUGGACUCGUUUAAAAUGAUUGCUAAAAUAAGUGAUGAUUCAACUUUUUUAAAAAAAAUUAAUUUUUCAUCAAUAAAAGCGAGUUUCUCUAUUCAAAUAAGGACAUAUGUGAAAAAUACGGGUACACAUAUUAAUAGCAUUUUACUUAAAAUGAAUAUUGAAUAAAAAUCGUUAAAUCCAUUAAUAAAUUCAAUACAAAGUGUUGUUUGAUUUGAGAUUCAUUUAUUAAGUAAGAAAUUUUAUUAAAAUAUAAUUAUGCGUAGAAAAGAAUAUUAGACUCAUUGCAAACCAAUUGUUAUUCAUAGAUUUUCUAGUAUUAAUGAUUUCACUAUUUAAGUUUUAAAUUAUUUUUAAAAAUCAUUAAACUCAUUAAUGAAUUUAAUGCACUAAGUCUUAAUUAAUUUGGAAUUCAUUUAUUAGUGAAAAAAAACAUGGUUCUAUGUAGAAGAGAAAUAAUAGUAGUUAUAGUAUUUAUUAUAUUAAUAUUUGACUUUUAAGUUAUUUUUAAAAUUUACUAAACUCGGUCCAAUGCAUUAAAUUUUGCUUGAUUUGAAGUUUAUUAGUCUAGUGAAAAUUUUUGUAAAAGUAUGAUAUAUGUUAUGAAGAAACUAGUCAAGUCAUUCAAAAUAAAUUUUGGUCUAUGAACUUUCUAAUGUUAUAAAGUUUUAUAAUUUUCUAGUACUAAUUAGAUCAGUUUUUUAUUUUCAAAUUAUUUUUAAAAAUUAAUAAAUUGUAUAUAUCAAAUUAAUGAAUUUUAUAUAUCAAAUAUAGUUUGAUUUGAAAUUUAUUUGUUAAAUGAAAGGUUUUAUAUAAGUUAAAAGAAAUUCGAAAAACAUGAAUAAUUUAAAAGAAAUUAUAUUUCAUGGAGAGAGAAAAAGAAUGAUAUCAUUAUUCAAUUUUAUUUGUUUUCUAUAUUUUUUUUUAUUAUUUCUCUGUAUUUUCCUUUUGGUUUUAAUAAUGAUUACUUAUUUUCUUAAAAAUGUUCUUUAUUUCAUUUUUUUUAAAGAUCUAAAGCAAAAAACAAAAACAAAUAGUGUUAUAAAUUUUAAAAAUAAUAUUCUAUUUUUAAAAAUAGAAAAUUAUUUUUAAUCAUAUGGUAAAAUAGGCUCUUAAGUUUUUAAAGUUAUCUUUUGAAAAACCAAUUUUCAUAUAAAUUAUUUAUGUUUCAAUACUAUUAAUUUUUUUGUUUCAAAAAUCAGUUUAUCUUUGGUAAAUCAUAUCUUGAUAAAAAUAAAUUAAUUAAAUAAUUUAGAAAUCUACAACUCAAAAAAUAAAGGUUAAUAUUUAAGAAAGUUGGUUUUUGAGAUAACACUUUCAAUGAAAAUCAAGUAUUCAUAAAAAAUAAAAAAUUAAAACUUUAAAAAGCUUAUUUUUUUUACUACAAACCUUUUUUUUGUAUCACAGAAUAAUUCUAAUAAAAGUUUUGAUUUGAUCCAUUGUGAUAUAUGGGGUCCUUUUGGCACUACUUCUUAUUCUGGUUUUCGAUAUUUUUUUAACUAUAGUCGAUGACUUCACAAGGUGUACUUGGGUAUACAUGAUUAAAGCUAAAUCAGAAGUGUCAUCUUUAAUCAAAACUUUCUGUAAAAUGGUAGCAAACCAAUUUUCUUCUUCUGUUAAAGCUAUAAGGUAUGAUAAUGGACCAAAAUUCUUACUCACAAAAUUCUAUCAUAAAUAUGGUAUUUUGCAUCAGAGAAGUUGUGUCGAAACUCCUAAAAAAAAUGGUGUUGUGGAGAGAAAACAUCAACAUCUACUAAGCACUCCUAGAGCCUUAAUGUUUCAAGAAAAUCUACCAUUAAUUUUUUGGAGUGACUGUGUGCUUACUGCUGCCCACAUAAUCAAUAGAAUUCCCACUCCUCUACUUCAAAAUAAAACUCUUUUUGAAAUGCUUUUUAACAAAACACCUAACCUUUCUCAUUUAAGAGUUUUUGGCUGUCUUUGUUUUGCAUCCACUUUAACUAGUCACAGACAAAAAUUUGAUUCACGAGCCACAAAGUGCAUCUUCCUAGGAUAUCCUUCUGAUAUUAAGGGUUAUAAACUCAUGGAUCUAAACAACAAUAAGAUCCUUGUUUCUCGGAAUGUCAUAUUCCAUGAAACAAUUUUUCCUUUCCAAGUGUUGCCCCAACAUCUUGAAACUCAUUCCUUUAUGUUUCCUCUUUCACAAUCAUUUUCAAAUUCACCUUCUACCACCUCCUUCUUCAAUUCCUAUCACAAUGUGUGACCUGCAUCACCACCUAAUAAUUCUCCUUCUCUCUCUGAACCUCCUGCCCUUCUUGAAUCCGACUCACCUACAUGUCCCUCUCCAUCCCAUCUGGAUUCAACUGACCCUGAAGUCCUAUAGCUCAUAAAAUCAACCAGAAUUAAACAAAAACCUUCAUAUCUGCAGGACUAUUAUUGUGGUAAUGUCUCUUCUUCUCAAAAUGCAACUCAGGCAUCUACUUCAACUAACUGUUCUCCCAUUAAAGGUAAUUUCUAUUCUCUUCACCCUUUUCUUUCUGCUAAUAGACUGUCUACAUCCCAUAAAGCUUUUCUCACCUUUGUCACAAACUCUCUAGAACCCAAAUCAUACACCCAAGCUUCUCGCCUCCUUGAAUGGCAAGCUGCCAUGCAACAUGAACUUACUGCUUUGGAGUUAAAUAAAACUUAGGAACUUGUUACUCUUCCUAAAAAUAAAAGGACUAUUGGUUGUAAAUGGGUAUUCAAAGUGAAAUAUAAAGCUAAUGGAACUAUAGAAAGACAUAAAGCUAGAUUGGUGGCAAAAGGGUAUACUCAGCAAGAAUGCCUCGAUUUAUUUGAUACUUUCUCUCAUGUGGCCAAGAUUACAUCCAUUCGCUUACUACUUGCUGUGGCUACCGUCAAACAGUGGCAUCUUCAUCAACUAAAUGUCAAUAAUGCAUUUUUGCAUGGUGAUUUACAUGAAGAGGUAUACAUGGAAUUGCCUCCUGGGUUGGCUGUCCAAGGUGAACAGAAAGUUUGUCGUCUUUUAAAGAGCCUCUAUGGCUUGAAGCAAGCUUCCAGGCAAUGGUAUGCCAAACUAUCUCAGGCCCUUCUUUCCUAUGGAUUUGUUCAAGGUAAUUCUGAUUGUUCUCUAUUCAUUAAGAAAUCUGAAAGUUCUUUUAUGGCCUUAUUAGUCUAUGUGGAUGAUGUGCUAUUGGCAAGUGAUAGCAUUCUGGAAAUUGAAAGGUGAAGACCUUUUUAGAUGCCAAGUUCACUAUUAAAGACUUAGGCCCACUGAAAUACUUUCUUGGCUUGGAAGUUGCAAGGUCCAAGACUAGUAUCUUCUUAUGCCAACGAAACUAUAUACUUGACAUACUUGAAGACACUGGUUUAACUAGAUCCAAACCUAUUGCCUUCCCUAUGGAAUCUACCCUCAAGUUAUCAGCAAAUGAUACCAAUUUCUAUGAAGAUCCAUCAGGUUACCGAAGACUCAUUGGCAGAUUAUUUUACUUAACUCUCACUAAGCCCGACUUAGCCUAUUCUGUAAAAGUACUCAGCCAAUUUUUAGCAAAACCUGCUGUUAGUCACCAUCAAGCAGGCAUUCGAGUACUGAGGUAUCUAAAGGCCAUACUAGGGCAAGGUCUCUUUUUUCUUUCUUUCUCAGAUUUUCAAUUAAAGGGUUUUUCCUAUAGUGAUUGGGCAGGCUAUGUCAAUACUAGAAGGAGUGUCACUGGUUUUGCAAUUUUUCUUGGCAACUCAUUGAUUUCAUGGAAAUCAAAGAAACAAGUUACAGUUAGUUGAUCCUCUGCAGAGGUAGAGUACCAAGCCCUUGCAACUGCCACCUGUGAAAUUCAAUGGCUUUUCAAUGCCUUGCAAGACCUGGAUAUCAAACAUUCACAGUCAGUUUUGCUAUAUACUGACAGUAAAUCAGUAAUGCCCAUCGCCACAAAUCCAGUUCAGCAUGAGAGAACAAAACAUAUCUAGAUUGAUUGCCAUCUUAUUCGCGAAAAAUUGCAGCAGCAUGUUAUAAAGCUCUUCCAUAUUCCAUUGCGAUUAUAGCUCGCAAAUAUCUUUACAAAGCCUCUCGAUUCUCUACCUUUUCAUCAUACUCUUCGCAAGAUGAACAUCAUUAACAUCCAUGUUCAUCUUGAGGGGGGGUGUUGGAGUGUUACAUCUCAUAUUGAAAGCAUGGAAUUAAAAAGGAAAGAAGACUUAAAAUAGAAAGCAAGUUAGAUGAGAAGAGUUAGUUAGAAGAGUUGUUAUUUCAGUUUAUUCUUUACUUUGUUAUUGUGUCAUUGAUGUAUUAUAAAUAGGACUCAAGUCUGAUGUAGUUUUUAAAUUUUUUCAGUUUUUGCAAUUCAUUUUCCUUUGCGUCCUCUGUUUCUUAGUGUUUUUCAUCAGUUUCAAAUUCUUCUGAUUCUCAACAACAAUUAUUGUAAAUAUAUAGAGUUGAUACCCAAAUCUGGGUCAUUAUUUAUGAUCCACUGGAUCUUCACGACAAUAUAUAUUGAUAUCCUGAAACUAGUCUUAGAGAAGGGACUCAGAAAACUAGCAGGAAAAGUAGUUUAUGAUCAUCUUCAAACAGUAUCAUUUACGCCUCAGAACAACAAACAAUAGAUUUCCUUCUUUGUUGCCUGAUUCCAGCUUGUGGGAGGACUCCAUAAUUUUCUUGGAAAGCCUAUCAAACAGUUGAUCAAUAAUCCCACUUCCAAAAUGUUGGGCAAAAAUUCCCUCCAAGCCAGCUCUAAGGUACAUUGCACAUUCCUUUCCAUUGAUCGGGCCAACAAGUUUUGAUCUAGAGUUCACUAACUCCAUUCUCUCAAUGGUUAAACACUCAUUUCUUUCCACCAGCUCUGUCAUUUGCUCGGGAGAGGCUAGAUGAAUAGGCAAGUUGAAGGAAUCCACUUGAGCUUCACUAAUUAAUCCCUGCAUUCAACAUUGGCAAUUUUGGCAUUAUCUCUUGAAUUCGAUUCGGGUUUGUCUGUAAAACAACAUAAAACUACCAGACAAGCAAAAAUUCAACAACUAUAAUUAUUUUUUGCUUUUUUUCCCCUCUCUACCCUAAUACUGGGCUUCAUGUAUGAGGUUCCAUGAGGGUAUAUUGGUCAUUUUACAUGAUUAGCCUAGCGUUUCCUACAACCCAACCUGAAUUGGGCCAUGGGAUGAGCAUAUGCCUAGGGUAAGUGUGCCAGGCUCCCUCAGCCCCAACAAAAAAUUUCCCUGUUUUAUUUCUAAAAUAUGCUAAUAUUUCCCAAGUUCCACAUUAAUUUUCUAUGCGGAAUGUCACUUAGCUAUGAUCAGAGCCCUCUCAACUAUUAGAUAUUAAAGUCACUUUUCUAAUUCCAAAAUAGAAUUUCAUCCGCCUUACCUCCUUGGCCAUAUCCAUGAGGCUUGAUCCCAAAAGAUCGAACAUAACACCAUAUGGGUUUUGAGAAGCAGGGAUCCCAUUUGGGAGAGCUGGAAUGAGAACCACUAUCAUCCCUCCAACCACAAGUUCCUUAGCUCUGGCACUCAGAAAGAUCUCCAUGUCAUGCUCAAAUUGAGCUGCAUAAGCAUGGCUUACUUCUUCUGGGCCACUUGUGUAGUGAAUCCUUCCCCUGUUCCAUGCAGGGGAGUUUUUGUCCAACAACUCUUCAGGCACCUUUGAGAGCCAGUGGAGUGCAUGAGAGGAAAACAUGAAAUGGAUAGAUGACUCCGGGAAUAACCGGCCAUGGAAAGAACCCGGGACGCCACAGGCAAAGUACCGCCUCUCAGUUGGGAGGGAUGCAAAUAGGGUAUUGAAAUCAUUACCCACAUGAUCAUUAAAGAAGACUUGAAAUUCAGGCAUCUCAGAUUUGAGACCUUGCGCCAGGUACCUCCUUUCUACAGCUUCCACUAUAUGUUGCAUUGCUAUGAAGGUAUUUGGCCCAACUGAACAUCCCAAAUCUGCAAGACGAAACGGGUUUGAAGAGAAGCACUUUACAUCAAGCUUCUUAGCAAUUGCCUCUUCAAUCAUAGUUCUCGACACAUUCAUAUCUUGUCUCUACAACACAAUAGUCCACCAUUCGCUUUGUUAUUAAUGUCAGGGAUGAUAUUCCCUAAACCAAGCAAUUUUUAAUCACGUAAUAUAAUCCAGGGUGAGCAAAACGGAGAUCCAUGAAAUCUGUAAGAUAGAGAAAAUUUAUGAAGAGACUGCAACGGCUACAAAAGCAGUUAAAAUACCUGAAAAUGGGAGUUGUUGCGGUAGCUAUGAGGUCCAUC
rnacentral:lncRNA from 1 species